GCAAGAAAGCUAGCCUAAACACCAGAUUAAAUAACCAACCAUAAAUACCACAGAACUACCAACUAAAGCAUUUUUCCACCCAAGUAUAGGCGAUAGAAAAGGAACCCACCCACUUAGAGCCAUAGAAAAAGUACCGCAAGGGAAAGCUGAAAAAGAAAUGAAACAAAUCCACAAAGCAAUGAAAAGCAGAGACUAAGACUCGUACCUUUUGCAUCAUGAUUUAGCAAGCACCCAUCAAGCAAGAGGACCCUCAGUUUGAAAUCCCGAAACUAGACGAGCUACUCCGGGGCAGCUUUUAAAGAGCCAACCCGUCUCUGUGGCAAAAGAGUGGGAAGACCCCCGAGUAGGAGUGAAAAGCCUAUCGAGCCUAGUUAUAGCUGGUUGCUUAAGAAAUGAAUAUUAGUUCAGCCCUACAUACUCCUUCAAUUCAACACAUCGACACCCGAUCAAAGAACAAAGUGAUAUGCCGGAGUUAGUCAAAGGGGGUACAGCUCCUUUGAAACAGAACACAACCUUACCAGCAGGACAAGGAUCACAAUUACCUAAGGAUACUACCCCCCAGUGGGCCCAAAAGCAGCCACCUGAAAAGAAAGCGUUAUAGCUCAAGAAGAACCACCACCAGUAAUACCGACAACAAAAUCCAAAUCCCCUAAUAAUAUUAAGCCGUCCUAUGUUUACAUAGAAGAGACAAUGCUAAAAUAAGUAAUAAGAGAGCACCCUACUCUCUCCCGGCACAAGCAUAAAUCAGAACGGACUAGCCACUGAUAGUUAACGGGCCCAGAACCGAGGGAAAAGCAGCUGAACCAACUAAACAAGAAAACCCUGCACAAAACCUAACCGUUAACCCCACACAGGAGUGCCAACAAGGAAAGACUAAAAGGGGAAGAAGGAACUCGGCAAACAAUAACCCCGCCUGUUUACCAAAAACAUCGCCUCUUGCUAAAAAGAAAGUAUAAGAGGUCCCGCCUGCCCAGUGACCACCGCGUUAAACGGCCGCGGUAUUAUAACCGUGCAAAGGUAGCGUAAUCAUUUGUCUUUUAAAUGAAGACCUGUAUGAAUGGCAUCACGAGGGUUCAACUGUCUCCUCCCCCCAGUCAAUGAAAUUGAUCUGCCCGUGCAGAAGCGGACAUAAAAACAUCAGACGAGAAGACCCUAUGGAGCUUCAGGCUAAAGAUUCAAGCAUGUAAAGAGACUUUACACCACAAAAGAUACAAAAUAAAUUUAAACCUAGUGCCCAAAUGAUCACAUGCCUUCGGUUGGGGCGACCACGGGGAAGAAUAAAGCCCCCGUAUGGAAUGAACACUCCCUCUAAACCAAGAGACACACCUCUAAGUAACAGAAAAUCUGACCAAAAAAUGACCCGGAACAAACAAAUCCGAUCAAUGAACCAAGUUACCCUAGGGAUAACAGCGCAAUCCUUUCCCAGAGUCCCUAUCGACGAAAGGGUUUACGACCUCGAUGUUGGAUCAGGACAUCCUAAUGGUGAAGCCGCUAUUAAGGGUUCGUUUGUUCAACGAUUAACAGUCCUACGUGAUCUGAGUUCAGACCGGAGUAAUCCAGGUCGGUUUCUAUCUAUGACCUUAUCUUUCUCCAGUACGAAAGGACCGAGAAAGGGAGGCCUAUACUAAAAGCAAGCCCCACCUCAAUCCCCUGAAGACAAAUAAAAUGGAUAAUGAAAUAGACCCUAUAAUUAAAGACAAUGAUAG
rnacentral:rRNA from 1 species